rnacentral:rRNA from 1 species
AAACUUGAGAGUUUGAUCAUGGCUCAGAACGUACGCUGGCGGCACGCCUAACACAUGCAAGUCGAACGAAGUAGCAAUACUUAGUGGCAGACGGGUGAGUAACAUGUGGGUAUCUGCCCUUUGGCCUGGAAUAACACGAGGAAACUUGUGCUAAUACCGGAUAAGUCUUUACGGAGAAAGCUUUAUGCACCAUUGGAUGAGCCUGCACUUGAUUAGUUUGUUGGUGGGGUAAUGGCCUACCAAGACUGUGAUCAAUAGCUGAUUUGAGAGGAUGAUCAGCCACAUUGGGACUGAGACACGGCCCAAACUCCUACGGGAGGCAGCAGUGGGGAAUCUUGCACAAUGGAGGAAACUCUGAUGCAGCGAUGCCGCGUGAGUGAAGAAGGCCCUUGGGUUGUAAAGCUCUUUCGUCGGGGAAGAAAAUGACUGUACCCGAAUAAGAAGGUCCGGCUAACUUCGUGCCAGCAGCCGCGGUAAUACGAAGGGACCUAGCGUAGUUCGGAAUUACUGGGCUUAAAGAGUUCGUAGGUGGUUGAAAAAGUUAGUGGUGAAAUCCCAGAGCUUAACUCUGGAACUGCCACUAAAACUUUUCAGCUAGAGUAUGAUAGAGGAAAGCAGAAUUUCUAGUGUAGAGGUGAAAUUCGUAGAUAUUAGAAAGAAUACCAAUUGCGAAGGCAGCUUUCUGGAUCAUUACUGACACUGAGGAACGAAAGCAUGGGUAGCGAAGAGGAUUAGAUACCCUCGUAGUCCAUGCCGUAAACGAUGUGUGUUAGACGUUGGAAAUUUAUUUUCAGUGUCGCAGGGAAACCGAUAAACACACCGCCUGGGGAGUACGACCGCAAGGUUAAAACUCAAAUGAAUUGACGGGGACCCGCACAAGUAGUGGAGCAUGUGGUUUAAUUCGAAGAUACGCGCAGAACCUUACCAACACUUGACAUGUUCGUCGCGACUCUAAGAGAUUAGAGUUUUCGGUUCGGCCGGACGAAACACAGGUGCUGCAUGGCUGUCGUCAGCUCGUGUCGUGAGAUGUUGGGUUAAGUCCCGCAACGAGCGCAACCCUCACUUUUAGUUGCCAUCAUUAAGUUGGGCACUCUGAAAGAACUGCCAGUGAUAAGCUGGAGGAAGGUGGGGAUGACGUCAAGUCCUCAUGGCCCUUACGUGUUGGGCUACACACGUGCUACAAUGGUAUCUACAACAGGAAGCAAAACUGCGAAGUUAAGCAAAUCCCUAAAAGAUACCUCAGUUCGGAUUGCACUCUGCAACUCGAGUGCAUGAAGCUGGAAUUACUAGUAAUCGUGGAUCAGCGUGCCACGGUGAAUGCGUUCCCGGGUCUUGUACACACCGCCCGUCACACCAUGGGAGUUGGUUCUACCUUAAGGCAAGGUUUCAAACCCUUGACCACGGUAUAGUCAGCGACUGGGGUGAAGUCGUAACAAGGUAGCCGUAGGGGAACCUGCGGCUGGAUUACCUCCUUU